rnacentral:rRNA from 1 species
GAUGAACGCUGGCGGCGUGCCUAAUACAUGCAAGUCGAGCGAACAGAUGAGGAGCUUGCUCCUCUGACGUUAUCGGCGGACGGGUGAGUAACACGUGGAUAACCUACCUAUAAGACUGGGAUAACUUCGGGAAACCGGAGCUAAUACCGGAUAAUAUAUUGAACCGCAUGGUUCAAUCGUUAAAGACGGUUUUGCUGUCACUUAUAGAUGGAUCCGCACCGCAUUAGCUAGUUGGUAAGGUAACGGCUUACCAAGGCAACGAUGCGUAGCCGACCUGAGAGGGUGGUCGGCCACACGGGAACUGAGACACGGUCCAGACACCGACGGGAGGCAGCAGUAGGGAAUCUUCCGCAAUGGGCGAAAGCCUGACGGAGCAACGCCGCGUGAGUGAUGAAGGACUUCGGAUCGGAAAGCUCUGUUAGUAGGGAAGAACAAAUGUGUAAGUAACUAUGCACGUCUUGACGGUACCUAAUCAGAAAGCCACGGCUAACUACGUG